rnacentral:rRNA from 1 species
CAGUCGCCGCGGGAAUACGGAGGGCGCGAGCGUUACCCGGAUUUACUGGGCGUAAAGGCGUGUAGGCGGCCUGGGGCGUCCCAUGUGAAAGGCCACGGCUCAACCGUGGAGGAGCGUGGGAUACGCUCAGGCUAGAGGGUGGGAGAGGGUGGUGGAAUUCCCGGAGUAGCGGUGAAAUGCGCAGAUACCGGGAGGAACGCCGAUGGCGAAGGCAGCCACCUGGUCCACUUCUGACGCUGAGGCGCGAAAGCGUGGGGAGCAAACCGGAUUAGAUACCCGAGUAGUCCCUGUCUCUUAUACA